rnacentral:rRNA from 1 species
GACGAACGCUGGCGGCGUGCUUAACACAUGCAAGUCGAACGGGUCUGCCCUGUUUUUUGCGGGGUGGGUCAGUGGCGAACGGGUGAGUAACACGUGAGUAACCUGCCCCUCACUUCUGGAUAACCGCUUGAAAGGGUGGCUAAUACGGGGUGUUCUGGCUGUGCCGCAUGGUGUGGCUGGGAAAGAUUCACUUUUGUGGUGUUUUGGUGGGGGAUGGGCUCGCGGCCUAUCAGCUUGUUGGUGGGGUGAUGGCCUGCCAAGGCUUUGACGGGUAGCCGGCCUGAGAGGGUGGGCGGUCACACUGGGACUGAGAUACGGCCCAGAUUCCUGCGGGAGGCAGCAGUGGGGGGUAUUGCACAAUGGGCGGAAGCCUGAUGCAGCGACGUCGCGUGAGGGAUGGAGGCCUUCGGGUUGUGAACCUCUUUCGCCGGUGAAGAAGGUCCUGCUCUUUGUGGUGGGGUUGACGGUAGCCGGGUUAUGAAGCGCCGGCUAACUACGUG